GUGCUCGCUUUGGCAGCACAUACACUAAAACUGGAACGAUGUAGAGGAAAUUAGCAUGGCCCCUGUACAAGGGUGACACACACAUUUGUGAAGCAUUCCAUAUUUUU
ensembl:snRNA U6 U6 spliceosomal RNA